GAUGAACGCUAGCGGGAGGCCUAAUACAUGCAAGUCGAGCGAGAAUCUAGAUUUCGGUUUAGAGGAAAGCGGCGAACGGGUGAGUAACGCGUACGCAACUUACCCUUGAGAGUGGAAUAGCCCUAGGGAAACUGGGAUUAAUACCGCAUAGUUUAUGGUUUUGACAUCAUUACCAUAAUAAAGCUUCGGCGCUCAAGGAUAGGCGUGCGUUCCAUUAGUUAGUUGGUGAGGUAACGGCUCACCAAGACUACGAUGGGUAGGGGGCGUGAGAGCGUGGCCCCCCACACGGGUACUGAGACACGGACCCG
rnacentral:rRNA from 1 species